rnacentral:rRNA from 1 species
AAGGUAGCGAAAUUCCUUGUCGGGUAAGUUCCGACCUGCACGAAUGGCGUAACGAUCUCCACACUGUCUCGGCCAGAGACUCGGUGAAAUUGAAGUCGCGGUGAAAAUGCCGUGUACCCGCAGAAAGACGGAAAGACCCUGUGCACCUUUACUAUAGCUUGACAUUGGGAUUUGAGCCUGCAUGUGUAGCAUAGGUGGGAGGCUGUGAACUCUGUACGCCAGUAUGGAGGGAGCCAUCGUUGAAAUACCACCCUUGUUUGUUCAGGUCCCUAACUCUUCGCCGUUACCCGGUAAGAGGACAGUGUCUGGUGGGUAGUUUGACUGGGGCGGUCGCCUCCCAAAAUGUAACGGAGGCAUGCAAAGGUUCCCUCAGGCUGAUUGGAAACCAGCCGUCGAGUGCAAACGCAAAAGGGAGCUUGACUGCAAGAGAGACAUCUCGAGCAGGUACGAAAGUAGGUGUUAGUGAUCCGGUGAUCCCGAAUGGAAGGGUCAUCGCUCAUUGGAUAAAAGGUACGCCGGGGAUAACAGGCUGAUCGCAUCCAAGAGUUCACAUCGACGAUGCGGUUUGGCACCUCGAUGUCGGCUCAUCACAUCCUGGGGCUGAAGCAGGUCCCAAGGGUACGGCUGUUCGCCGUUUAAAGUGGUACGCGAGCUGGGUUUAAAACGUCGUGAGACAGUUUGGUCCCUAUCUUCUGUGGGCGUAGGAGAAUUGAAAGGGCCUGUCCCUAGUACGAGAGGACCGGGAUGGACACACCACUGGUGGACCUGUUGUCGUGCCAACGGCACAGCAGGGUAGCUAUGUGUGGAAGGGAUAACCGCUGAAAGCAUCUAAGCGGGAAGCCUGCCUUAAGAUAAGUUCUCCCUGACGCAAGUCCUGAAGGGCCGAGGUAGACGACCUCGUUGAUAGGCUGGAGGUGGAAGCCCUGUGAGGGGUGGAGCUGACCAGUACUAAUAGCCCGUGCGUCUUGUUUUU